GGGAGCUAGCAGGAKCCCUUUGUGACUCUGCUAGAACCCACCCCGGAAACGAUAAGUUUUCGAUAUCCGGGGAAGUAUACUKACAAAUSCGAAACUUAARGGAAUKRACGGAAGGGCACCACCAGGGGUUGGAGCUGCGGCUUAAUUUGACUCAACACGGGGAAACUCAUCCGGUCCGGACACCGUGAGGAUUGACAGAUUGGGAGCUCUUUCUUGAUUUGGUGGGCAGUGGUGCAUGGCCGUUCUUAGUUGGUGGAGUGAUUUGUCUGGUUUAUUCCGAUAACGAACGAGACUCUGGCCUACUAACUAGUUGCGCGAUCUUCUUGUCGUGCCAACUUCUUAGAGGGACAAGCGGUGCUCAGCCGCAUGAAAAAGAGCAAUAACAGGUCUGUGAUGCCCUUCGAUGUUCGGAGCUGCACGCGCGCUACACUGUGGGUGGCAGCAUGUUAGCUUGCCUUCGCUCGCAAGAGUGGGGUAAUCGUUUGAAAAUCCCACGUGAUUGGGAUAGGGACUUGUAAUUAUUUCCCUUGAACGAGGAAUCCCUAGUAAGUGCAGCGYUCAUCAGUCGCGCUGAU
rnacentral:rRNA from 1 species